rnacentral:rRNA from 1 species
GAUGAACGCUAGCGGCGGGCUUAAUACAUGCAAGUCGAGGGGUGGUAGCAAUACUACACCGGCGCACGGGGGCGUAACGCGUAUGCAAUCUACCUUUAUCUGGGGGAUAGCCCGGGGAAACCCGGAUUAAUACCGCAUAACAAAUUUUCUGGCAUCAGGAGAUAUUAAAAGAUUUACUGGAUAGAGAUGAGCCUGCGUAAGAUUAGAUAGUUGGCGAGGUAACGGCUCACCAAGUCUACGAUCUUUAGGGGCUCUGAGAGGAGAAUCCCCCACACUGACACUGAAAUACGGGCUAGACUCCUACGGGAGGCAGCAGUAGGGAAUAUUGGGCAAUGGGCGCAAGCCUGACCCAGCCACGCCGCGUGCAGGAAGAAGGCCCUCUGGGUUGUAAACUGCUUUUGACUGGGAAGAAAAGACUCCUUGCGAGGAGAGUUGACGGUACCAGCAGAAUAAGCCACGGCUAACUACGUGCCAGCAGCCGCCGUAAGAC